UCAAGCAAGAAAGAGCGCAGGGUGGAUGCCUUGGCACUAAGAGCCGAAGAAAGACGUGAUAAGCUGCGAAAAGCUGCGGGGAGGAGCAAAUAUCCAUUGAGCCGCAGAUAUCUGAAUGGGGAAACCCGGCUGGACGAACUCCAGUCAUCCAUACGCCAAUCCAUAACGUAUGGAAGGGAACCCGGUGAACUGAAACAUCUAAGUAGCCGGAGGAAGAGAAAACAACAAGUGAUUCUGUGAGUAGCGGCGAGCGAAAACGGAAGAGCCCAAACCGGAAUGCGUGCAUUCCGGGGUUCGGACCGCGUAAUUGAUCUGAUAAGUUUAGCAGAAUGGUUUUGGGAAAGCCAGCCAGAGAGGGUGAAAGCCCCGUAAGCGAAAGACGAGUCAGCAAGGCGGGAUCCAGAGUACCACGAGACACGAGAAACCUUGUGGGAAUGAGCGGGGACCACCCCGUAAGGCUAAAUACUCCUUAGUGACCGAUAGCGCAUAGUACUGUGAAGGAAAGGUGAAAAGGACCCCGGGAGGGGAGUGAAAGAGAACCUGAAACCCUGUGUUUACAAGCUGUGGAAGUUCUUUAAAUGAACAACCGCGUACUUUUUGUAGAACGGUCCGGCGAGUUGCGGAUACUGGCAAGGUUAAGCACUUAAGGUGCGGAGCCGAAGGGAUACCAAGUCUUAACAGGGCGUUAAGUCAGUAUACGCAGACCCGAAACCGGGUGAUCUAUCCAUGUCCAGGUUGAAGUUGUCGUAAAAGACAAUGGAGGACCGAAGCCACAUCCGUUGAAAAGGGUGGGCAUGAGGUGUGGAUAGGGGAGAAAUUCCAAUCGAACCCGGAGAUAGCUGGUUCUCCUCGAAAUAGCUUUAGGGCUAGCCUCGAUUUAGUCUUAUGGAGGUAGAGCACUGAAUUUCCGCGGGGGCGUCAAAGCUUACCAAAGAAUAUCAAACUCCGAAUGCCAUGUAGAUGAUGAAUGGGAGUCAGACUGCACGAGAUAAGUUGGGUGGUCAAAAGGGAAAGAGCCCAGACCUACAGCUAAGGUCCCAAAGUGCGUGUUAAGUGGAAAAGGAUGUGGGAUUUCGAAGACAACUAGGAUGUUGGCUCAGAAGCAGCCACACAUUCAAAGAGUGCGUAAUAGCUCACUAGUCGAGAGGUCCUGCGCCGAAAAUGUCCGGGGCUGAAACACGACACCGAAGCUUAGGAACAGAAAUGUUGGUAGAGGAGCAUUGUUAGCGGAACGAAGCCAUACCGGAAGGAGUGGUGGACUGCUAAGAAGAGAGAAUGCCGGAAUGAGUAGCGAGAUUGAAGUGAGAAUCUUCAAGGCCGAAUAUCUAAGGUUUCCAGGGUAAAGCUGAUCUGCCCUGGGUAAGUCGGGGCCUAAGGCGAGGUCGAAAGACGUAGCCGAUGGACAACAGGUUGAAAUUCCUGUACUGCGAUAUAUCAGAAAUGUGGGGACACAGAAGGAAAGUGUGAGCCGGGAAAGGAAAGACCGGUGCAAGCACAGGAGGAGAGAUACAGGCAAAUCCGUAUUUCAAUCCAAUGGUGUUACGCGGAGCGAACAAAAGUAGCGAAGCACACAGACCAUCUGUCGAGAAAAGCCGCUAUUGUGUAUACCGUACCCGUACCGUAAACCGACACAGGUGGAUGAGGAGAGAAUCCUAAGGCCGGCGGGAGAAGCAUUGUUAAGGAACUCGGCAAAAUGACCCCGUAACUUCGGGAGAAGGGGUGCUCACGCAAGUGAGCCGCAGAGAACUGGCCCAAGCAACUGUUUAGCAAAAACACAGGUCUAUGCAAAACCGAAAGGUGAGGUAUAUGGGCUGACGCCUGCCCGGUGCUGGAAGGUUAAGAGGAGAUGUUAGAGCAAUCGAAGCAUUGAAUUUAAGCCCCAGUAAACGGCGGCCGUAACUAUAACGGUCCUAAGGUAGCGAAAUUCCUUGUCGGGUAAGUUCCGACCC
rnacentral:rRNA from 1 species